UACGUAGGGGGCAAGCGUUAUCCGGAUUUACUGGGUGUAAAGGGAGCGUAGACGGCAAUGCAAGUCUGGAGUGAAAGGCGGGGGCCCAACCCCCGGACUGCUCUGGAAACUGUAUAGCUGGAGUGCAGGAGAGGUAAGUGGAAUUCCUAGUGUAGCGGUGAAAUGCGUAGAUAUUAGGAGGAACACCAGUGGCGAAGGCGGCUUACUGGACUGUAACUGACGUUGAGGCUCGAAAGCGUGGGGAACAAACAGG
rnacentral:rRNA from 1 species